GAGGAAUUCAACUCCAUUUCCAAUUGAUUUCGUGAGGGUUGGUUUUGGAAAUGAUGCAGUGAAGGGCUCAAAAUCCAAUUCAAGAACAAAGUUAUCACUGGAAGUUCCGUUAACAAGUUCUUCCUUGAAUUGCAAAAACUCAGGCACAGUCAGCUCCUCAACACUAAGAGCAUUAACAUUCACACGGACAUAUUCCCACACACCGGGCCUCAAACGAAUAGCAAGUGCA
rnacentral:misc_RNA from 1 species